rnacentral:rRNA from 1 species
AUUGAACGCUGGCGGCAUGCCUUACACAUGCAAGUCGAACGGUAACAGGUCUUCGGAUGCUGACGAGUGGCGAACGGGUGUGUAAUACAUCGGAACGUGCCUAGUAGUGGGGGAUAACUACUCGAAAGAGUGGCUAAUACCGCAUGAGAUCUACGGAUGAAAGCAGGGGAUCGCAAGACCUUGUGCUACUAGAGCGGCCGAUGGCAGAUUAGGUAGUUGGUGGGAUAAAAGCUUACCAAGCCGACGAUCUGUAGCUGGUCUGAGAGGACGAUCAGACACACUGGGACUGAGACACGGCCCAGACUCCUACGGGAGGCAGCAGUGGGGAAUUUUGGACAAUGGGCGAAAGCCUGAUCCAGCAAUGCCGCGUGCAGGAUGAAGGCCUUCGGGUUGUAAACUGCUUUUGUACGGAACGAAAAGCCCUGGGUUAAUACCCUGGGGUCAUGACGGUACCGUAAGAAUAAGCACCGGCUAACUACGUGCCAGCCGCCGCCGUAACAC